CUUCAAAAUGGCGAACAAUUUCGUCAAUUUCGAUUCAAAUAAUUGCAGAGGAAGGCUCCUGAUCUGUUAUAUAAGCAAUCGUUAUGCAUUUUUGCGUACAAAAUACAAACAUUAUUACUGAGGAAAGUAUUUAAUUUGUUGGUUUGUGAAUUUCGACCUUAAAACUAGCCAAGCAAGUGAUUUUGUCUAGAUCACUGGACAUGUGGUAUUUACUUUCGUCUGACAGUUUCAAGAAUGCUAUGGAGUCAAGUGGACAUUAUUUAAACUUGAAAAUGUUUAUUUUGGUAACAGAUGUCAGUGAAGAAAAGCCAAUACAUCUGCUGGACCCGGGAAUGAAAAACUAGG